rnacentral:misc_RNA from 1 species
GUUCGGGUUUCUGUUGAGAAAGGUGAUUUGUCAAGAUUUGGUGGAGACUUCUUUGAUAAGUUUGACAUUGUAAUUGUCAGUUGCUGCACCCGCAUGACCAAGAAAUUGAUCAAUGAGAAGUGUCGCAAGUUAUCAAAGCGUGUAGCAUUUUAUACAGUUGACUGUAGAGAUUAUUGUGGUGAGAUUUUUGUUGAUUUGCAGAAGUAUAUAUAUACAAAGGUGAUCAUCUUUUCUCUACAUUUUCAGAUGUUGCCACUUGCAACUUGGUCAUUUUGAUGCAUUGUAUUGUUUGGGCUACCUUCCUCUUAACUAGGAAGACAAAUAGAGCUCUAUUCAGAGAUUGCAAGGUCAUUCCGGGAGUGGCUUUAACAAGUCAACAUCGGU